CCUAAAGUUCCCAUGGGAAACUGCUCAGUAACACAUGAUCAACUUACCCUAUAGAGAAAACUAACCUCGGGAAACUGAGGAUAAUGUCUCAUAGCUGAAUUGGCUUGGAAAAGUUUUUCAGUAAAAGGGAUAAAAAAAAUGGUUUUUAUCUGCUAUAGGAUAGGAUCGUGGUCGAUUAUGGUUGUUGGUGAGGUAAUGGCUCACCAAGCCGAUAAUCGAUAGGGGCCGUGAGAGCGGGAGCCCCGAGAUGGGUACUGAAACAACGACCCAGGCCUUACGAGGCGCAGCAGGGGCGAAACCUCCGCAAUACACGAAAGUGUGACGGGGUUACCCAAAGUGUUCAAUUUUGAACUGUGAUAGGUGAGUAAUGUUCCCUACUAGAAAGGAGAGGGCAAGGCUGGAGCCAGCCGCCGCGGUAAAACCAGCUCUUCAAGUGGUCGGGAUAAUUAUUGGGCUUAAAGUGUCCGUAGCCGGUUUAGUAAGUUCCUGGUAGAAUCGGGUAGCUUAACUAUCUAUAUGCUAUGAAUACUGCUAUACUAGAGGGCGGGAGAGGUCUGAGGUACUACAUGGGUAGGGGUGAAAUCUUAUAAUCCUUGUACGAGCACCACUGGCGAAGGCGUCAGACUGGACGGUGAGGGACGAAAGCCAGGGGAGCGAACCGGAUUAGAUACCCGGGUAGUCCCGGCCGUAAACGAUGCAUACUAGGUGAUGGCUCGGCCAUGAGCCGUGUCAGUGCCGUAGGGAAACCGUUAAGUAUGCCGCCUGGGAAGUACGGUCGCAAGGCUAAAACUUAAAGGAAUUGGCGGGGGAGCACCACAAGGGGUGAAGCCUGCGGUUCAAUUGGA
rnacentral:rRNA from 1 species